rnacentral:rRNA from 1 species
AGUGAACGCUGGCGGCGUGCUUAACACAUGCAAGUCGUACGAGAAAGCUUCUGCUUGCAGAGGCGAGUAAAGUGGCGCACGGGUGAGUAACGCGUGGGUAAUCUACCCUCGAAUUGGGGAUAACAUUGCGAAAGCGAUGCUAAUACCGAAUGACAUCCAAUUAUUUUCGAAUUUUUGGAUCAAAGAUGGCCUCUUCUUGAAAGCUAUUGUUUGAGGAUGAGCCCGCGUCCCAUUAGCUUGUUGGUAGGGUAACGGCCUACCAAGGCUACGAUGGGUAGCUGGUCUGAGAGGAUGAUCAGCCACACUGGAACUGACACACGGUCCAGACUCCUACGGGAGGCAGCAGUGAGGAAUUUUGCGCAAUGGGGGAAACCCUGACGCAGCAACGCCGCGUGAGUGAUGAAGGCUUUCGGGUCGUAAAGCUCUGUCAAGUGGGAAGAAAAUGCAUUUGGCCAAUACCCAUGUGCACUGACGGUACCACUAAAGGAAGCACCGGCUAACUCCGUGCCAGCAGCCGCGGUAACACGGGGGGUGCAAGCGUUACUCGGAAUCAUUGGGCGUAAAGGGCGCGCAGGCGGCCUGGUUAGUCAGAUGUGAAAGCCCGGGGCUCAACCCCGGAAGUGCAUUUGAUACUGC